UAGGGAAUCUUCGGCAAUGGACGAAAGUCUGACCGAGCAACGCCGCGUGAGUGAAGAAGGUUUUCGGAUCGUAAAGCUCUGUUGUAAGAGAAGAACGGGUGUGAGAGUGGAAAGUUCACACUGUGACGGUAUCUUACCAGAAAGGGACGGCUAACUACGUGCCAGCAGCCGCGGUAAUACGUAGGUCCCGAGCGUUGUCCGGAUUUAUUGGGCGUAAAGCGAGCGCAGGCGGUUAGAUAAGUCUGAAGUUAAAGGCUGUGGCUUAACCAUAGUACGCUUUGGAAACUGUUUAACUUGAGUGCAGAAGGGGAGAGUGGAAUUCCAUGUGUAGCGGUGAAAUGCGUAGAUAUAUGGAGGAACACCGGUGGCGAAAGCGGCUCUCUGGUCUGUAACUGACGCUGAGGCUCGAAAGCGUGGGGAGCAAACAGGAUUAGAUACCCUGGUAGUCCACGCCGUAAACGAUGAGUGCUAGGUGUUGGGUCCUUUCCGGGACUCAGUGCCGCAGCUAACGCAUUAAGCACUCCGCCUGGGGAGUACGACCGCAAGGUUG
rnacentral:rRNA from 1 species